rnacentral:snRNA from 1 species
GUGCUCACUUCAGCAGCACAUAUACUAAAAUUGGAACGAUACAGAGGAGAUUAGCAUGGCCCCUGCGCAAGGAUGACACAUAAAUGUGUGAGGCAUUCCAUAUUUUU